UACGGAGGGUGCAAGCGUUAUCCGGAUUCACUGGGUUAAAGGGUGCGUAGGUAGGCAAGUAAGUCAGUGGUGAAUCUCCGGGCUUAACCCGGAACUGCCAUUGAUACUAUUGUCUUGAAUACUGUGGAGGUCAGCGGAAUAUGUCAUGUAGCGGUGAAAUGCUUAGAUAUGACAUAGAACACCAAUUGCGAAGGCAGCUGGCUACACAAAUAUUGACACUGAGGCACGAAAGCGUGGGGAUCAAACAG
rnacentral:rRNA from 1 species